UGUUGUUCUCAGGAGAAGCAGUGACGGAGCAGCAAUGCUAUAAGCAAAAAUGCUGUAUAAGGUUUGAACCAGCGAGGAGGUAUGGCCUCCCUCAGAAGCAGAGGUGGAGGGAUGGCCACGCCAGCUUACACCCAUCCUUUUGGUAGAGGUGAAGAGUGGUCUUGUGAUGAAAACUCAGAAUCGAGAGUCCAGUUCUCUUCCUUGCUCUGCUGCUGAUUCCAUACCUACCCUUGGGCGGAAGGACUCAAAAGCCCAGGAAGACAUCUGGACAGAAUGCCACACAGAGGUUACUGGAUUGCUGGACUCUAUGCUUAGUUACUAGGGAGAUCUCUUCCCUACCACCUCCUUCCAUAGAUUUGAAUCCAACAGGGUAAGGAGCAGAUCUGUCACAGGAACUGAAAGGACAAUUGGCAUUGUUAUGCUGGAGCCCUACAUUUUGAUCGAUUUGUAGUUGUUCCUUUUGGAAUCGCUCUUCUGCACAGUAUGAAUUUAUCAAUAUCCUACUUGUUCCUGAGGUGUAUGGGAGGCUGUAUUUCCCAAGAUACACCGGGAAAACUCUGCAGCUAGCUCUAAUCAAAUUGAACUGCUGUCAAGACUUCCUGUGAGGCUUCGAGGAAACAUUUCUGUAUAUUAGAGGUGGA